rnacentral:rRNA from 1 species
AGAGAGAGACAUGCGCGCAUAUCAAUAAGCGGAGGAAAAGAAACUAACAAGGAUUCCCUUAGUAACGGCGAGUGAAGCGGGAAGAGCUCAAAUUUGAAAUCUUCAAGGUUUUACCUUGACGAAUUGUAGUUUAAAGAAGUGUUUUCUGCUGAAGUUUUGGUAAAAGUUCUUUGGAAUAGGACAUCAUAGAGGGUGAGAAUCCCGUAUUUGACCAUUAUUUUCAGCUUUGUGAUACACUUUCAAAGAGUUGGAUUGUUUGGGAAUGCAGUCCAAAAUGGGUGGUAAAUUUCAUCUAAAGCUAAAUAUUGGCGAGAGACCGAUAGCGAACAAGUACCGUGAGGGAAAGAUGAAAAGAACUUUGAAAAGAGAGUUAAACAGUACGUGAAAUUGUCAAAAGGGAAGCGUUUGACACCAGUGUUGUUUUCUCGAAAAUCAAUUAAAAAUGGCUCGAUUUUGUAUUGCUUGAGACCUUAAAAGCUCACUGUACAUUUUUCGUGUCUUUUUUAAUGCACUUUUCGUUUAACAAGUCAACAUCAGUUUCUUUUGUUGUAAAAGGGUCAUUGGAAGGUGGCUUUCUUUUCGGAGAAAGUGUUUAUAGCCUUUGGCCUCUGCAAUCGGAGAGACUGAGGUCUGCAGCGUAGACUCUUCGGGGUUAGAUACAUUUGUGCUAAGUUAUAGCUUUUUAUAGACAACUCGUUGACUAUAAUCAGUCUUGUAGCUUACUCGCUUAUGCUAUUUUACCUACGCUUAGGAUGUUGAGUCGUAGAGCACGCA